UGCGCUAUAGAGCAGUCAGGUUAGCUUAUCAGGCUCAUGCCCUGGAGGUCGUAGGUUCAAAUCCUUCUGGCGCUA
rnacentral:tRNA from 1 species